AUAAAACAAAAUAUGUAUGGUUCCAGAUGAUUUCCCAUCAUCCCUGACUGUGGAACAUUCAACGUAUUAUUCCUCGAGCUGCAUACCCACCCACAGCCACAACAUUCACACCUCACGCCUGCUCACGGACACCUCCAAGUAACAUUCCAAUGUUGCCCAAAGUGUAUCUGCAGAGGCUAUUUCCCUAACAAGAACCAAGCCAAACAGUUCUGUGAUCUCAAGCAAACAAGUCUAUGAAAUGGGGCACUCUGCAUUCUGCCUCCACUCCUACCCACCUGGAGUAUGCUCAUUAAAGGGGCUAAUGAGUCCUACACAAAAGAAUCUAAUUUUAUGAACCCUAGGAUUUCCCAAAUUGUCUUCGCUACCCUUUUAUUUACAUGUAAUGCCUGUUAACCUUUAAAACCAACUGUGCAAAAGUGCUCUGGGAAACGCUGCUAUACAACUUAUCUUGAAAUUUUCCAUUUCUAGGGCACUUUAGUUGUGUUCCUGAAGGUCUUCUAGAACAUUUAACAUAGGAGAGAUAUUUCAUCUUGGAGAAUGUCAUUUGGAAGUGAAUUUAAAUUCACCUUUUUAAAAUUACUACAUUGUAAUCCCUAGUCUUCUUAAAAUUUACUGUUUUCAUUAUCCAACUGGUUACCAUUACUUUUCAGAAGACAUCUGUCACUUUAUAUUUCCCAUUCUGUUGGCCCUUUGUCAGUUUAUCAAAGUUGUAUUAAUAGAAAUACACAUUUAUAAUUGUCAGUGUGAGUAUAAAUCUGUGGGUUUUUAACUUACUAUUUUUAAUGCAUCUUUUCAGGUAUCAACAUAGUCCAUUAUUUAUUCUGAUAGAAAUAUGAUAAAACAUUGCAUAUAUAACUGUUCACUGUUUCUAUUUAGAAAUAGAACAUUUAGGUUGUUUCUAGUUUUUCGGCAUUUUAGAUCCAACCAUGAUUCAUGCACUUUUUCCUUCAAGGAGUAAAAGGGAAACCCUCCUUUUUUAGUAUCAAUUUCACUUUAUUUAUAUACUAUUAUUCCCUCCUUAUGGGUAAUUAACACAGCUAAUAAAGCUAACCCAAUAAUAAUCCUGACAAGGUCACCACUAUUCCACUCUUUCUUUAUACACAAAAUGGGAUAACACAUUUUAUUUCACAGAGCUGUUGUGAAGAAAGGACUUAAAACGCUGCCUGACACAUAAUAAGCACUCUACCAUCUUCAUGUCCAGGGAAUGGCCAAAUUCAAUUAUUUUAUCCAUCACACUCAACACGCUUCUAGUAACUUUUCUGGGCCCAAUGGUUGCAGGUGAAUAUAAAUGAGGGAGAAGUGUGGGGAGAAGCAAGUCUAUGGCUAAUUCAAGAGGAGCCGAGAUCCACUUCAGAACUGACCAGAAGUAAGUAGACAAACCAAUGUAUAUUGACAUAGCAUAAGGGUGCAUUUUAGAUCCUGGAAAUUACAUUUUUGAUUUUUAGACAGCUAUAUUUGGGAACACAGUAUAAGAAAUGGAAACACACUUUCAAAAGAGCAAGAAAAGACACAAUCAUCUAUACCACCUUUGUGGUUUCAGAUUACAUCUGCGAAUAGUACAGGCAAUUGGGGAAAUUUUCUGUUGAUGUAGAUAGACUGGUUUUAAUUAUUUUGCCCCCCUACAUAAAACUCAAAUAACAAUCAAAAAUAUUUAUCCAAAUUCCUGUUUUCUCCCAUAUUCUUGCAACCCACAUUGACAUUGUUUAAAUAUUUCACUCUACACUUUUACUGCUGUCAUAAACUUAUAAAAAGAGCAAUAAUUAGGCUCUCUGAAAGCAUACUAAGAGAAACUAUUAAUCCUUUUAUCUCUCCAGCACCUCCUACUGAGGAAGAGUUAGGAUCCAGGUUGCAAGUUACCAUGAUCCAAGGUUGAGUCUGAUUGCUGGAAACCAUCAAAAUUCAUUCAGAGCCAAAUUCUGAGAAUAAGGAUGGCUCACACCUGUAAUACCAGCAUUGUGGGAGGCCAAGGCAGUAGGAUUGCUUGAACCCAGGAAUUCAACAUCAGACUUUUCAACAAAGUAAGACCUCGUCUCUACUAAAAAUUUAAAAAUUAGGUGGGCAUGGUAGCUUGUGCUUGUAGUCCAGGCUACUUAGGAGGCUAAGG